rnacentral:lncRNA from 1 species
AUAUGCAAAGCAUGCAUCAGCCACAUCCAUGCUAUCUCCUAAAGCAGUCAUUCUGAAACCCAAUCUGGGGACAGUGCAGACUAAAUAAAAUUUCAUUUUGAUUUGGCCUCCCGCUGCGAAUGGGACUGCUUUGUCUCAGCCGACAGAACCAGCAAGCCAGAAAGGGAAUGAAGACAUUUGGAGAAGAAGCGUUUACUGAAAGGAGAUUCCUGGGCUGGAGGAAAACCAUGAUCUACAGUUCAUGUUGACAGAUAUUGUAUUUUUGGUCCUAGAUCUGACUUUUGAAAUGACUUAUCACAAAUUCAAAUUUAGCAAUCAUGAGUGAAGUACCCACGAUGUGCUAAGCAUCUACCUCUGCAGAUAGAAGAACACUUACUGUUCCUGAGCAUGGGAGGGAAUAGAAGUUCCUGGGUCCUGGCCUCACCUCAUCAGACGAGGGAACUGAGCUGUCAAAACUAAGUGACUUGAUUGAGGCCAUGCAGCUGGCGAGGGGAGGACCAGGAUCUGAACCCAACUGGGUCUCCCAAGCCUGGGCCACUGAACCAUUUCACCUCUUGGAAAAACUUAAUGGUCAGAGUGGCCCACCCAGUCCAUGGACAGCAUGGAGUGGUAUGGUGGAAGAGGAGGGAAGAAAACCUGUGUAUUGUAAGUCAUAUUCUUCUAUGGUGUGAAGGUUAACGUAAGUUUUAAGAAAGUUUUUUUUUUUAAUUUUAUUAUAUGAUCUUGCUCUAAAGGGAUGUAAAUUCAGAUGCUGAAUUGCACACAUCCUUUCUCUUUCAUAUUUUCAAUAUUGAACGUAAUUUCAAUAUUUAACAUAAAACAAUGAGUACAUUGUCUCCACCUCAUUGUUUUUGGGUGGUGUUUGUGAGGAGCCUGCGUUCUUUGGAAGGAAGACCUUUCAGAUGACCUGACCAGUCCUCCUCUUCAGAACCCGGAUGCUGGCGAAGCAGGUGAGUGACAGCCUGCUUCCCUCCGUGUGCCACGCAACCCUUGCUUAGAGCGCAGUGUUGACAUAUUGAAAUGCCUGGGGUUUCUCAGCAGCAUUUUAGCACACAAAGAGCUCCUUUGUCAACUUUUAGCAGUGUCUGGUCAUACAUCCUGGCUAUAUAUAAAGACAUUUUCCACUCAAGAAAAACCUGGUUUCAUUAUUUAACUCAGUUUGUCACCUCUGGAUGGUUCCCCCAACCCACCCAAAAUAGAAGAUAUUUUUGAGCUCCUUUACCAACAUGGGUACCAGGGACUAUGGCUGCAGAAAGUAGAAUGAUAGACAUGGGAGACCUGGAAGAGAGGGAGUGCAAGGGGGUGGACGAUGAGGAAUGACUUAUUGAGUACAAUAUAUAUUAUUUGGGUGAUGAAUACACUAAAAGCUCAGACUUCAUCACCAUACAAUGAUAUCCCAGUAACAAAAUUGCUUUUGCACCCCUUAAAUUUAUGCAAAAAAAAACCCACACCAAAACAUUGCAAUGCAUCUUUCUGGUUACAGAUUUUUAAAAAGGCAUGUACAUAUCUCCUUCCCUGACCUCCCGUCUCUUUUAGAGCCAAGAAUGCCUGGCUUUGGGCCAUCUUGUUUUUUAGAGAGAUAUAGGGUCUCAUACCCUCCCAGGCUGGUCUCAAACCACUGGCUCCCAGAGAUCCUCC